GUUUUUGAUAAACUGAUUAAUGAUUAAUGAUUAUAUUUUAUGACGGAAAACCCGUACUGCUGAAUCAUAUUAAUUCUAAUAUUAUUUAUUUGAGAGGCUACAACUUUCAAGAUAAGAGUGCGCGUAAAGAACUCCAAAGAAAUUCGAAGAUUACCGAUUUCCGUCGUCCGACGAAGUGACCGUGGUACAUAAUAUAUUAUUAACCAUGUUCACGGCAGUCUCGUCGGCCAUUUUCUCCGCGUCCUAUUUUUAAUCAAACCGUUUUGCGAGUUCGUCGCGCCGUCUGUUUAGUGAUUCUUGUUUAAGAAAUAAUAAGUUUAUUGCAUUCAUUCAGUUAAUUAUUAUGAAGCAUAAUCUGAUGUUGAAAAACCGGAGAAACAUAUUUUACUGGGCUUAUGGAAGUGAAAUGGUUGUCAGCAUCAAAAGACGUACAAAUUUAUACAAUAAUACAUCGUACCUGUACAGUGUACACACACCGCUAAGUAUAUGCGGUAAGCAGAGUGGACUCGUAAGCGCAACAGGUAUCUAUAUAUACAUAUUUGUAUAAUUCCCGAGAGUUCUUCGAGUAUACGGUUGUAUAUUUCCACCGCAUUGAAGGAAAUAAAAUAUAUUUCAGAGCCGUGCAACAACAACAACAACAACAACAGUAUAUAUAAUAUAUAUAUUUUCUACCGAUUCGGUCAUGCAAACGGAUUAUAAAAUACUUAUUAUAAUGUAUGUAUAAAUGUAUAAUUAUUAAUAAAAAUAAACGCACGCUUAAACUAUGUGCGAAAG